GACGAACGCUGGCGGCGUGCUUAACACAUGCAAGUCGAACGGAAAGGCCCUGCUUUUGUGGGUUGCUCGAUUGGCGAACGGGUGAGUAACACGUGAGUAACCUGCCCUUGACUUUGGGAUAACUUCAGGAAACUGGGGCUAAUACCGGGUAUGAGCUCCUGCUGCAUGUUGGUGGUUGGAAAGUUUCGGCUGUUGUGGAUGGUCUCGCGGCUUAUCAGCUUGGUGGUGGGGUAGUGGCUUACCAAGGCUUUGACGGGUAGCCGGCCUGAGAGGGUGACCGGCCACAUGGGGACUGAGAUACGGACCAGACUCCUACGGGAGGCAGCAGGGGGGAAUAUGGCACAAUGGGCGGAAGCCUGAUGCAGAAACGCCGCGUGCGGGAUGACGGGCUUUGGGUGGUAAACCGAUUUGGACGGUGACGAAGAGUGAGUGACGGUAAUGGGUAAAGAAGCAACGGCUAACUACGUG
rnacentral:rRNA from 1 species